rnacentral:lncRNA from 1 species
CAUAGGUGGAGAGUAGCAAUUGACAGAGCCAUGGAGGGGAAUGUACUUAAAACUAUGACGUAUACAGACAUUAUAGAAAAGAAUACGUAAGUUUGUCUUUCUCACCUAGAGAACUUCCACAUUGAGACAUCAUUUGGUGCCACAGGAUAAUUUGUAAGCUAUGAGCCACAAAAGUUCCUCUGAUAGGUACAAGGGAACUGCCUUAGUUAUGGACCAGAAAAUGAUAAGAAUUGUAUGAAGGUGGUUUCAGCUUAAAAGCAUGUUAAUUAUCAGAGGAAAACGUUAAUCUUCAGAGGAGUUUAACACUACCAAGUAGCAUUAAAGUAAUUAUGGUGAGUAUUGCAUCUGAUUGAAAAUGUUUUUUUCUAAGAACCCCGUCUCUUCUGUUUUCAUUUGACAUUGUUCCUUUUGUGUGUGAAUAGUAACAGAUUUAUUACUAGUGAUAAGUUAAGGAUACCUUUUUUUUUUCUCCUUUGCUUUUUUUUUUGUAAGAAAGGCUGUUUUUGUCAGUGACAUA